AAAACCCUAAUCUCUCAUUCGUCCUCAAUCCGAUUGCGUCUCCCAAACCCUAACCAUUCAAAUCCACCGUUUCAUCUCUGCAUCUUCCGCCGUUUCAUCUAUUUUCACUUGAAAGAGCCUUAGAUGUAUUCGAUCUACAAUUCAGAAAGAAACCCGAUCGUGAUUGAUCUAGCCGCAUCAAGCCACUGUGGUUACGCAAUCUGGAGAUGGGUAGGAUUUAAUCAGAGUUUUCGCAUCACUUGAGGUAAGUUUCUGGUUUACGGGUUAAUGUUUGUAGCAUUUAAUAUCUUGAUACUCGAUUUAAAAAAACCAUAAUUUGUGGUCGAGAUAUAUGGUGUUAAUGGCGCCCACGGUCGAGAAGCGUAUGAUAGCGGUUUCGUCUGAGAAGCAGCUGCUGCUGAUAGUAAAAAUUUGUAAGAACACCAUGAUUUCCGAUCAUACGUUGUGAAAAUUGCGAUUCAUAUUUCAAUUGAAUGCCGCCUUCAUUGACAAGGAUAUGACGAAAUAGAUCAAGAUUCACUGGUCCAUUGGCCAUUCAGGUUCACUGGUCCAUGAAACAGGCCAGAACAAUCAGAUGGAACUUAUCAGCAAAUGCAACAAGGCCCAACCCUCAAGGAAUGAUUUUUGAAGAGUGUGGUACUAGAAGUAGCAUGGCGUAAUUAAGAUAAAUGAUUUGUGUUCGUAGACGUUCUAUAAGGUGCGUGUGACAUUUGGUGCAUAAUAUUUGAUUGGUUUCAGUUCUUCAAGGUCAAAAAUGGGGGCAAAGUCAAACGAUUUUUGAAGGUGCAGUAGAUUUUUUUGUAGUUUCAUGUACAUGAUGGUAUACACCGAUUGUUUAUAUGAACAUAAAAAUUGGACAAAAAGCCGGUCGGCCAACCCGAGCGAACCCGUUUCGGUCCAUACAAAAAGGACCAGUUUUCAUCAACUUAGAAUUCAUAACUUAGUAUCACACUCUCUAGCAUCCGGUUUGUGCAGAUCACAGAGAUCUGGAUUAUAAAGGGUCAUAAGGAGCUCGAAGCGGAGUUGAAGAAAAUGGUGCUGGUUAUUUUCUGAGCGCCUUGUGGAUGUUGUGCUUGGAGAUAUGAGACUUGUGGAUUCAAGAGAUAUUAUGGAGCUUGAGUUGAAACAACAUAACUGUGAGGUCGUUAUCAGAAAAAAAAGAAGCUUUAUGGUGAUGAUGCAAUCUCCACAACCUCAGGCUAUGUAUCAAUCACUACCACCUCCACCAUAGUCUGCACCCGCUUCUUCAACGCCAGCUCCUUCUGCAUCUGCACCCGCACCACCCUCACCUACCCCUGCAAAACCAAAGUCCUCUCAUCCUCCAAUGAAAUGCCCCAUGGCUGGAAACACUCUUUUGUUUGUUUUAAAUUUUGUUGUAUAUAUAUAACCUGUUAAUAUGAUUACAAUAAAUAUACUUAGAGGCUUAGACUAGAGUAUGAAGCGUUUAAUAUUUGCAUAAACGAUGUGGGAGGUUGUAUGCUUUAUAAUUAGACUUUUGGGUAGUUUCUUGAUUAUCAAGUGAUGUGUUGAUUUACUGUUUAAGGUUUUUUUUAUUUUUUUAUAAUAUAUGUUUUCCAGGUUGGAGACAAGGUUUAGAAAAGCCAGGUUAUUUGCAUUAUUGAGGCCAUGAAGUUGAUGAAUGAGAUUGAGUUCUGGCCGUCUCAAGCAUAGUUACCUAAAUCGCUAGGUUAGCCACGGUAUUGGAUCGUGGUGUAUCCAAUCGAAAAUCAUAAACGUACCGGAACGUGUCAAAAAUAUGAAUCUAAGAGCUUCUGGGAUCAUAGUCACCUGGAUCAAGGUACGCUCCGGUACACAGAACAAAAAACAGGGAGAAGUGUGCUGGCACCGAUUGGUCAUUGGUCACCACAAAUGACGGGAAAAGAUAUUACUACAAUGCUAAAACCAAGCUGAGCAACUGGCAAAUACCAGCAGAUGUGGCCAAGUUAAGAAAGACGCAGGAAAAUGAUGCUUUAAAAGAACAAUCAAUAUCAAUGCAUAACGUAACUACUUUAACUGAAAAAGGAUCUGGCCCAUUAAGCUUGAACGCCCCUGCUAUUACCACAUGUGGCUGUGAUGCCAUAUCUCCUGUCUCACCAUCUACACUUGAUUUGAUAAAAAAGAAACUGCAAGAUUCUGCAGCUCCUGCUACCAUUGGAUCUGACCUGAACGGUAGAAAAUGGAAAAAUGCAUGUUUUAUGCCGAUAGAUGCUGGUGCGGAACUGAAUAAUGUCUUCUACCACUUUGUAAAGGUAAUAUCUUGCUUUUUAUAGCUUCGCUUGGCUUGGCUUUUUCUGGACAUGGCUUAUUUACAAAACAAGUUGACGCGGCUCAGUUCAUUUACAAGUGAUCCAACUACAACAAAUAAGGUUUUGUAUCUGUACUACAUCGGCUUUUAUUGACUUGCCAAGUUUUGAAAAAACUUGAGAUGGAUAAGGAGUAGCUAGGCAACGUUCAGGUAAUUGGGGAAGAUUAUUAUGUUAAACCUGCAGAAGGUCAUUCCGUGCUCUACUUGAUGUUGGUCUUAUCAAAAAAUCACUGAAAACCGUGUUUUUGGUGCCCUUAAGUGUCAUUAUGUUAAACAUGAAGAAGGUCAUUCACAUACAUUUGUAUAUCUGCUGAUAAAAUGAUUUGAAUGUUUAAUAUGAUUAUCAAAGAGUAUUAUUUGAAUAA